GACGAACCGUGCGAACGUUAUUCGGAAUCACUGGGCUUAAAGAGCGCGUAGGCGGCGUCGUAAAGUUGGAGGUGAAAUCCCAUCGGCUCAACCGUGGAACUGCCCCCAAUAACUGCGAUGCUUGAGAGAGGUAGGGGCAUGUGGAACUUCCAGUGGAGCGGUGAAAUGUGUUGAGAUUGGAAGGAACGCCAGUGGCGAAAGCGGCAUGCUGGAUCUCUACUGACGCUGAGGCGCGAAAGCUAGGGGAGCGAACGGG
rnacentral:rRNA from 1 species